rnacentral:rRNA from 1 species
GACGAACGCUGGCGGCGUGCUUAACACAUGCAAGUCGUACGGUAAGGCCCUUUCGGGGGUACACGAGUGGCGAACGGGUGAGUAACACGUGAGUAACCUGCCCACAACUUUGGGAUAACGCUAGGAAACUGGUGCUAAUACUGGAUAUGUGCUCCUGCUGCAUGGUGGGGGUUGGAAAGCUCCGGCGGUUGUGGAUGGACUCGCGGCCUAUCAGCUUGUUGGGGGGGUAGUGGCCUACCAAGGCGGCGACGGGUAGCCGGCCUGAGAGGGUGACCGGCCACAUUGGGACUGAGAUACGGCCCAGACUCCUACGGGAGGCAGCAGUGGGGAAUAUUGCACAAUGGGCGCAAGCCUGAUGCAGCAACGCCGCGUGCGGGAUGACGGCCUUCGGGUUGUAAACCGCUUUCAGCAGGGACGAAGCUUUUUGUGACGGUACCUGCAGAAGAAGCACCGGCUAACUACGUG